AUAUAUAUAUAUAUAUAUAUAUAAAAUACAAAAUUUGAAAUUUUGAUUUUUUAAAGUUUUAAAUUUUAAAUUUAAUAUUUUAUAUUUUAAAUUAUAAUAUUUAUUUCCAAAUUUUAAACUUUUCAAAAUUUAAAAUUUUAAAUCUCUAAAUUCUAAUAAUACGCGUAAUAAAUCGCGUAAUAAAAUCUAACCUAAUAAAUGCAAUUUAAAUUACAUAAAAUAUCGCUGUAUAAAAAAAUAUAGAAUUUAAAUUUCAGGACUAAAAUUUUAGAAAUAUAGUGCAUAUGUGUAUAUAUAUAAUUAAUUUUAUUAAAUAAUUUUUUUUACAAUUUUUUUUUUAUUAUUGGUUUUCUUAAAUUAUUUUGAUAGAUUUAUCUCAAAUUCUUUUCAUAUAAAUUUUAUAAAAUAAAUUAUUGUAUAAAUUUACUUUGCGCAUAAUUAUUUUUAUAUAAUUUUUUAUUUAAUUAAUAAUUAGACUUAUAAAACUAUAUAAAAAUAUUAAAAAAUAUAUAAUUUAUUAUAAAAAUAAUUUUAUAUCCGCAGCAUCGCGCGGGUAUUUCACUAGUUGAACAUGAUGAUUUAGACGGGAUUACAUUGGGCCUAACAGAGAUU
rnacentral:lncRNA from 1 species